AUUUGGAUAAGAUGCAACAAGCAAUUGGCUUUCAGUCCUUGGGCCCCUGACCUUCAGAGCUGCUGGUUUUGCAGCCUUCAUCAGUCAUUUGAUUAACAGUACAGUAAUUUGACUUUAUAUUUGAUGCGGCUGCAGUUCUGGAACCCACUUCAAGCAUGAUGGUAGGCAUUUAUUGUUUAGAAUUAAGCAUACAAUUAAUUAUAGAAUUUUAUUAAAAUACCUGAAAUUUUAAUGACUUACUUAUUUUUUAAACAAAGUCACUGUUUACUAUAGCAUCACAAAUAUACAUCAUGUAGGAAUAAAGCCAACAAUAGAAUUGAAAUUCCCUCAAAUACAGUUAUUUAUAAAAUGCAUUAUAGGCGUUCUCCUGUGGCACAGUGGGUUAAGGAUCCAGCACUGUCAUUGCUGUGGCACAGGUUCUGUCCCUGGCCUGGGAAUUUCCACAUGCCACAGACAUGUCCGGAAAAAAAAAAAGUCUCAUUGACAGACAUUAACAGUGGCUUAAGUACAUGGAAAUAUAGUCCAUAUCUAUAUAAGUUGAAUAGUCUCAGUGUUUUAAAGAUAUCAAACUUCCUGAAUUCAAUUACACAGUCACUAUAAUCCAAUGAAAAUCUAAAUAGGUUUUGGGUGGAACUUAAUAAGCUAAGCCUAAAGUUUACAGAAAAUUGCAAAAGGCUAAGAACAGCUAAGAGACUCAAACAUAAGAACCAAGUAGGAGGAGUCUAACAAAUAUCAUGAAUUAUUGUAAGACUACAGUGAUAAAGGCAGUGUAACAUAGGGGCAGGGAUAUAUAAAGAGUUCAGUGGAAAAGUCGUACAUACACAGAGGGCUGCAGAAGUAGACAGCAGCUGGAGUUUCAACAGAUGGUGAUAAGAAAAUCGGGUGUUUGUGUAACGAAAGACAAACUUGAUGGCUCUCACAACAUAGCCAAAUGCAAUUCCAACUGUAUAGAAAGUAUAAAUGUAAUACAAUUACAAAACUUUCAGAGUAUAAUAUAAAAGCAUAUCUUCAUGGCCUCAAGGAAUGAGAUUAAUUUCUCAAUUCUUAAGGAACAGGUUGAUAAAAAGAACUGUGUCAAAGUUGAAAUCUGUUCUUAAAAAUAUAUGAGCCUAAAACGAUGAGCUCUGUAACGGGAGAUGAGUAUGUAUUCAUAUCAAUAUCCGAAUCCAAAUCCAUGUCCAUAUUUAUACACCCAAGGCUGGUUAAUGUGUAGAAAUGGCAAAUCAUACUUACAAAUCAACGAGAAAAGGAUACCUCAGUGGAAAAGAUGGGAUAAAACCACAAAAGAUCACUUCCAAAAGGAGGAAAUCUAUUUGGCCAUUAAACAUGUAAUUGCUAAAUUUCAUUCUUAAUCAGGAAAAUGCAUAUUCAGCCUGCCAUGAAACACAAGAAAGGCUAAAAGGAAAAGACAAAAUAUCAGGUGUUGACAAGGUGGCAAAUUAGAGUGAACUCUCUUGAAUUUACUGGAAAGGGAGUAGGUUAGUUUCCUUUCGUUGACGUAACAAAUUGCCGCAGACAUAGUCACUUAACACAGAUUUAUCCUCUUGCGGUUCUGGAGGCCAAAAGUCCGCAGCCAGUUUCACGAGGCUUAAGUCAAGGUGUCAGCAGGGUUGACCCAUUCUGAAGAUUCUGGGAUUGACUUACGUUUUUCUGUCUUCUAUUUACAUUUAGCUUAAUACGUUUAUUCCUAUGACUAAAAAUUAUAUUUAGAAUCAAGGAAGUGCUAAAACAUCGAAGUGGACUGUGAAAAGCCAAUUAGUCAAACAUAGGAUGCCAUUUUGUUACUGUUGUGUAGGACGACAAAGGAGAGGUUUUGUGGGUUCGUAGCUUAGCAGAGGACAGUAGUUCUUUGUCCCCUCCCAGAGGACAUCGGCAAGAAAACCCAGGAGAGGCCUCUUCCUGUGGAAUGCUUUGAUAACACCAGUUUUUCAUUUGGUUUCCCAAGCACGUGCCAAUUGCUUAAGUGCUCUUGCUAUGCAUACAUAGAGAGCCCAAACGUGGAAUGAUGUUGCUGUGUUUUCAGCAGUAAUUCCAUCAUAGGUUAUAGUAAAAUCACACGGGGAGGCAUAGGAAGGAAGCCACAAUUCAUGGACAUCACAGGACAGUGGGUCAUUUCAACCAUCGUCCUUGGUGAGGUACAGCCUGAGAAUGUGUGAUGCUCCCCCAGUGAAGAUGCCGUUAAAAAGGCAGAGAUUAGCUUUUCAGAGCGUGGCCUGGGUGAGUUAAGAUAACUGGAUUCCUGGUGGUUGGCCAGGCAACACAGUCAUACAUCACCACAUGUUUUUGGCUGGAGAAGCUGAUGCUGCCUGACCCCUGACAUGGCCACUCAACUGCACGGUGAGCAAGCUCAGGGCUCCUCCUCAGGCAGUGGACUUGAGAGUGACUGUGCGGAGCUCGUCAAAGGGUUACCCCUGAACCUCUGCCGUGUAUCCAUCCAUUCUGAGGCCAGAUGCACUCUGACCGUGGGCGUUCUGGUUUCCUUUCCUUUUUUCUUUUUCUCUUUUUACACCGCACUUGCAGCAUAUGGAGAUUCCUGGACUAGGGGUUGAAUCAGAGCUGCAGCUGAGGCCACAGCAACACCAGAUCUGAGCCACAUCUGUGAUCCAUACCACACCUUGCGGCAACGCCAGAUCCUUAACCCACUGAGGGGGGGCCAGGGAUCGAACCUGCAUCCUCAGGGAGACCCGUUGGGUUCUUAACCCACUGAGCCACCACAGGAACUCUCAUUCNGGAGACCAUGUAUUUAUACUGGAAAAGAGUUCCGUCAAACAGCCACAUAGGGAAACAGCCAAAAAAAUACGUCAUUUUUGUUGAGGCUUGUUUAUGGUUUAAUGAUCUUCUGUUCAAACACCCUGCAGGAAACUUGGGGACCUUCGGCUCAAAUAGUCUGAAAUUUCCAUUCAGGCAGGACAGUGUUGUACACCACUAUCUAUCGGGAGGGUAUUUAUUCUGGCCCCAAAGUCCUCUUACGUCAAAGCCAAGGAAUGUGCUACGAGAAAACCACUUCAAAAGAGAAAGGAGUCGGAAAUGCACCUAUUUCGAAAUCUGAGAUCUGAUGACAAAUCAUAGCAAGAUUUCAGAGAGCUGAUUGUCAACCAGGCACUAAAAAUACAUUCAGAAAAGUUAUUUUUCUUUGCCAAGAUUCAUAUAUUUUUGACAAGAUUAAUAUAUUGUUGAACCACUCAAAAAUUGAUCAAUAUUGGCAGCCAUAUUGGGUUUAUUUUAAUUUUUUUAGUUUCCAGUGCUCUAGGUGGCUUUUUUUUUUAAUUAUAUGAUUUGUGCUUUUUUUUUGGUAAUUAUUAUUUUUUAAUAGUUAUUCCCCCAAUACAAUUUUUUUCUACUGUACAGCAUGGUGACCCAGUUACACAUACAUGUACACAUUCUAUUCUUUAAAAAAAUUUUUUUUUUAAUUUACGUUUGGUUAGUCCUGCUGCCUGUAGCAAAAAUACUUGAAGCUUUAUAGGAUAGUCAAAAAUAAAUAUAAAAACAUUUCAACAUGCAUCUUUCUGAAGCGGUUGUAGAAAUACAAGCAAACCCUGAAUCUACAAAUUGGAGUAUUAUAGUCAUCCACAAAUUAAAAAUGAUUUGGCAAGUAUAGUUCAGUUAUUGAAGGAGGGUAAUAUCCCAAUGCUUUAAUGAAUAAAACAUGUAGGAAGCAUGAAGGCAGAGCCAAGCUCUAACGCCAGGGUAUUAUGGAUAAACUGACGGCUAGCUAUUUUGUUGAAUCUCUCUCAUCUUUGGCACAUAGACUUCCUCUCUUGCUCUUGGCCUUGAAACUAUUUGCAUAGAUUUUUCAGCUGAGGACUCCAAGCGAAUCUGUGCUUAGCUUUAAAAAAGGCUGCUGCUGGAGUUCCCAUUGUGGCACAGCAGAAACUAAUCCGACUAGUAACCAUGAGGUUGUGGGUUCGAUCCUUGGCCUCACUCAGUGCGUUAAGGACCCAGAAUUGCAAUGAGCUGUAGCGUAGGUCACAGACGUGGCUUGGAACCUGAGUUGGUGUGGCUGUGGCUUAGGCCAGUGGCUACAGCUCUGAUUGGACCCCUAGCCUGGGAACU
rnacentral:lncRNA from 1 species